rnacentral:rRNA from 1 species
GGCAAACUCAGUGCGGGGUGCGGGGGAAGAUGAAGGGGGCAAGGUUGUUCGGGGAUUUCUUGGGGUAAAGGGGGCGUAGGUGGGGAGUUAAGGGUGGGUUGAAAUCCCCGGGCGCAACCUGGGAAAGGUAUUGGAUACUGGCGCGCUAGAGGGCGGUAGAGGGUGGUGGAAUUCCCGGUGUAGCAGUGAAAUGCGUAGAGAUCGGGAGGAACAUCUGUGGCGAAGGCGGCCACCUGGACCAGCACUGACACUGAGGCACGAAAGCGUGGGGAGCAAACAGGAUUAGAUACCCGAGUAGUC